GGUUAAGUGACUAAGCGUACACGGUGGAUGCCUUGGCAGUCAGAGGCGAUGAAAGACGUAGUAACUUGCGAUAAGCCCAGAUUAGGUAGUAACAACCAUUUGAGUCUGGGAUUUCUGAAUGGGGAAACCCACUUACAUAAGUAAGUAUCAUUAACUGAAUACAUAGGUUAAUGAGGCGAACCGGGGAACUGAAACAUCUAAGUACCCCGAGGAAAAGAAAUCAACCGAGAUUCCGAAAGUAGCGGCGAGCGAAAUUGGACUAGCCCUUAAGCUUUACACGCGUUAGACGAACGGUCUGGAAAGUCCGACGAUACAGGGUGAUAGUCCCGUAGUUGACGACGUGUGUUCAGUGAAAUCGAGUAGGGCGGGACACGUGAUAUCCUGUCUGAAUAUGGGGGACCAUCCUCCAAGGCUAAAUACUACUGACUGACCGAUAGUGAACCAGUACCGUGAGGGAAAGGCGAAAAGAACCCCUGUGAGGGGAGUGAAAUAGAACCUGAAACCGUGUACGUACAAGCAGUAGGAGCACCUUCGUGGUGUGACUGCGUACCUUUUGUAUAAUGGGUCAGCGACUUAUAUUCAGUGGCAAGGUUAACCAUCUAGGGGAGCCGUAGGGAAACCGAGUCUUAACUGGGCGUUCAGUCUCUGGAUAUAGACCCGAAACCAGGUGAUCUAGCCAUGGGCAGGUUGAAGGUUGAGUAACAUCAACUGGAGGACCGAACCGACUAAUGUUGAAAAAUUAGCGGAUGACUUGUGGCUAGGGGUGAAAGGCCAAUCAAACCUGGAGAUAGCUGGUUCUCCCCGAAAGCUAUUUAGGUAGCGCCUCGGACGAAUACUACUGGGGGUAGAGCACUGUUAAGGCUAGGGGUCAUCCCGACUUACCAACCCUUUGCAAACUCCGAAUACCAGUAAGUACUAUCCGGGAGACACACGGCGGGUGCUAACGUCCGUCGUGGAGAGGGAAACAACCCAGACCGCCAGCUAAGGUCCCAAAUUACUACUAAGUGGGAAACGAUGUGGGAAGGCUCAGACAGCCAGGAUGUUGGCUUAGAAGCAGCCAUCAUUUAAAGAAAGCGUAAUAGCUCACUGGUCGAGUCGGCCUGCGCGGAAGAUGUAACGGGGCUAAGUAGUAAACCGAAGCUGCGGCAAUGUGCUUUUGCACAUUGGGUAGGGGAGCGUUCUGUAAGCGGUUGAAGGUGUGUGGUAACGCAUGCUGGACGUAUCAGAAGUGCGAAUGCUGACAUGAGUAACGAUAAAGGGGUGAAAAACCUCCUCGCCGGAAGACCAAGGGUUCCUGUCCAACGUUAAUCGGGGCAGGGUAAGUCGACCCCUAAGGCGAGGCCGAAAGGCGUAGUCGAUGGGAAACGGGUUAAUAUUCCCGUACUUCUUACAAUUGCGAUGGGGGGACGGAGAAGGCUAGGUGGGCCUGGCGACGGUUGUCCAGGUUCAAGUGCGUAGGCUUAAGAGUUAGGUAAAUCCGGCUCUUUUUAAGGCUGAGACACGACGUCGAGCACCUACGGGUGUGAAGUCAUUGAUGCCAUGCUUCCAGGAAAAGCCUCUAAGCUUCAGAUUGUAAGGAAUCGUACCCCAAACCGACACAGGUGGUCGGGUAGAGAAUACCAAGGCGCUUGAGAGAACUCGGGUGAAGGAACUAGGCAAAAUGGUACCGUAACUUCGGGAGAAGGUACGCUCUUGAUGGUGAAGUCCCUCGCGGAUGGAGCUGACGAGAGUCGCAGAUACCAGGUGGCUGCAACUGUUUAUUAAAAACACAGCACUGUGCAAAAUCGUAAGAUGACGUAUACGGUGUGACGCCUGCCCGGUGCCGGAAGGUUAAUUGAUGGGGUUAGACUUCGGUCGAAGCUCUUGAUCGAAGCCCCGGUAAACGGCGGCCGUAACUAUAACGGUCCUAAGGUAGCGAAAUUCCUUGUCGGGUAAGUUCCGACCUGCACGAAUGGCGUAAUGAUGGCCACGCUGUCUCCACCCGAGACUCAGUGAAAUUGAAAUCGCUGUGAAGAUGCAGUGUACCCGCGGCUAGACGGAAAGACCCCGUGAACCUUUACUACAGCUUGGCACUGAACAUUGACCCUACAUGUGUAGGAUAGGUGGGAGGCUUUGAAGCACGUACGCCAGUAUGUGUGGAGCCGUCCUUGAAAUACCACCCUUGUAGUGUUGAUGUUCUAACGUCGACCCCUAAUCGGGGUUGCGGACAGUGCCUGGUGGGUAGUUUGACUGGGGCGGUCUCCUCCCAAAGAGUAACGGAGGAGCACGAAGGUGGGCUAAUCACGGUUGGACAUCGUGAGGUUAGUGCAAUGGCAUAAGCCCGCUUGACUGCGAGAAUGACAAUUCGAGCAGGUGCGAAAGCAGGUCAUAGUGAUCCGGUGGUUCUGAAUGGAAGGGCCAUCGCUCAACGGAUAAAAGGUACUCCGGGGAUAACAGGCUGAUACCGCCCAAGAGUUCAUAUCGACGGCGGUGUUUGGCACCUCGAUGUCGGCUCAUCACAUCCUGGGGCUGAAGUCGGUCCCAAGGGUAUGGCUGUUCGCCAUUUAAAGUGGUACGCGAGCUGGGUUUAGAACGUCGUGAGACAGUUCGGUCCCUAUCUGCCGUGGGCGUUGGAAGAUUGAAGGGGCUGCUCCUAGUACGAGAGGACCGGAGUGGACGAACCUCUGGUGUUCGGGUUGUGUCGCCAGACGCAUUGCCCGGUAGCUAAGUUCGGAAUCGAUAACCGCUGAAAGCAUCUAAGCGGGAAGCGAGCCCUGAGAUGAGUCUUCCCUGAUACUUUAAGUAUCCUAAAGGGUUGUCGGAGACUACGACGUUGAUAGGUCAGGUGUGUAAGUGCUGUGAGGCAUUGAGCUAACUGAUACUAAUUGCCCGUGAGGCUUAACCAU
rnacentral:rRNA from 1 species